rnacentral:lncRNA from 1 species
GCUAAGUAUUUCAUUAGUCCAAUAUUAGUUUAACGGCCUGUUUGGAUUGUCUAUGGAUGAGUUGAAGUGCUUUUUCAUAACUAAAAGUGCUUCUAACUACGUCUGCUUAGAAAAUUGAAAAGCAUUUGUUGAUGCACAAAACCGGAUGGUUUUGGUACAACGUAAAUCCGACCGUGAAUCUGCACAAACGCUCAAGAACACGAAGAACACAAGGAUUUUAUCGUGGUUCACCCCAAGGUUUGGGCUACGUCCACACUGAUUGUAUUGUAUUUCUCUGUUGAAGAGGGAGAGAGAGCUUAGAGCUUAGGGGGUGUGAGGAAGCUUUGAGAGGGGGUGAGAGGCUUCAGAAAUGGCCUCUGAGAGUGAGAGUCAGGCCUCUCCCAAUUGUGAGGGUGAGGAGGCCCUUUUAUAGAAUAAGGGCUCAUCACCUAAUUACAUAUUUGCCCCUUCUUUUAUCCCAUAAUUACAUUUAAGUCCCCCAAGUAUUUGUACGAGAUCUAAAUACGAGGCCCUAAAUAUGGUAUAAACAGUAGUCCCCCAAGUCUUCAGUCAAGAGAGUCUUUUGGCUGGAGACUUGAAAUUCAGUCCAUGUGUGGGCCGAAGUAACUAGAUGUCGUCCUGAACUGGUACUUGAUAUGAGGCGGUGCUCAAAGUGAAAUGAUGCUCAACUAUAAGUAGCACAUGCUGCGAGGCCGCUUUGCUUGUAGCUUGAGUUGCCUUGGUUGGCUCGGCUUGUGGUGUUGAAGGUGAGGGAGUCCCUUUUAUAGGAUAAGGGCUCACUCCUCAAUACAUAAGUGAUGGGCUAGAGUCCCCCAAGUAUUUUUCAUGAGUGCUCUCUAAAAGUGAAGGAGUCCCUUUUAUAGAAUAAGGGCUCGCUCCUCAAUACAUAAGUGAUGGGCUAGAGUUGAUGCUCGCGGCGAGGCGGUUGCUCAGCUGGCGGCGUUUCUCUCUAAUGAAGGUGAGGGAGUCCCUUUUUAUAGAAUAAGGGCUCACUCCUCAAUACAUAAGUGAUGGGCUAGAGUCCCCCAAGUAUUUUUUAUGAGGGCUCUCUUGAGGCCCAAUAUAUGGUACAUAAUGUAGUCCCCCAAGUCUUCGGUCAAUAGAGUCUGUUGGCUGAAGACUUCAAAUUGGAAUCCAUGUAUGGGCCGAAGUGGCGGUUGUUAGGAGGCGAUAUUUGUAUACCUUGCACUGAAGCUUUGUAGGUGAAGCUUUGUAGGUGAAGCUUUGCAAGUGAAGCUUUGAAGCUAGAGCUCUGUAAAUGAAGCUUUUAAAGCUAGAGCGUUUGUAAAUGAAGCUUUUGAAGCUAGAGCUCUGUAAAUGAAGCUUUUGAAGCUAGAGCUCUGUAAAUGAAGUUUUUGAAGCUAGAGCUCUUGUAAAUGAAGCUUUUGAAGCUGAUUGACAUGAGUGAUGCUCAUGAAUGUUUAUGUUGAUUGACAUGAGUGAUGCUCAUGGAUGUUGUCAUGAGUGAUGCUUAUGAAUGUUUAACAUGAGUGAUGCUUAUGAAUGUUGACAUGAAUGAUGGUCAUGAAUGUUUAUGUAUGAUUAUCAUGAGUGAUGCUCAUGAAUGUUUAUGUAUGAAUGACAUGAGUAGUGCUUAUGUAUAAUUUGGAGUACUAGGCGUACUUUUAAUCACCUAGUUGGUGCUAUUUUGGGCUUAUGGGCCUUCGCUCUCCACAACAUGCCAGCCCAUUUAUUUUGGGCUUUUCCUUUUUUUUUUUUUUUUUUUUUUUUUUUUUUUUUUUUUUGACUCUCUGAUGGGGUUUAUAUAUAUUACCCUCUGAUGGGGUUUAUACAGAUGUUUCCGAAAGAUAAUAAAAAUAAAUUACAUCAUUCGGGUGAGGUGUUUAUUCCUUGCUUUUGCAGUGUUUUUCUGCUCUGCCUUAACUUUCUACCGCACUCUCUGUCUUUUGCUUUCUUCUUUGUGAGCACAUGACCCCUCCAUGACUGCACCACUUUUUUCUUUUUCUUUUGCAUUGUCUCCCAUGUGCUCUCGAGGAGGGCCUCCAUUUUCUUUUUUUUCUUUUUCUUUUGCACCUCUGUCUCCAUGUGCUCUCGAGGAGAGCCUCCAUUUUCUUUUUUUUCUUUUUCUUUUUCUUUUGCUUUCUUAGUGACAUGAUGGCUGGAUUGCUUCACACUGGUGUGCAAUUGGCGCAUGCCAUCUCCACAAACUUCUUCAGACCCUUUCCUCCUUUUCCUUUUUCUUUUCUACUUUUGUUCCCACUGCUUUUUGUUUUUUUGCUUUCUCUUUUCUUUUGCUUUCGGCAUGCUGGGAUCUUCACUGCUUUUUUCCAGUCAGAUGUCACCAGCGGUGGAGCCAUGGACGUGGAACAGGAACUGCCGCGGAGAAAAGAUCGCACUUUCCAUUUGGUGGAGGUAUCUGGUCCUGAUCUCCAUCUCCUGGAACUUGCCUAGGAAUUGGCUCCUUUGAAUCCACAGUAUUUUUGGGAAAAAAUGGGUUUCUUUUCAGUUUCAUACCCAUUCUACUGUUCUUUUAAGACCUCACUGUUUUCUUUUCAUUUUCAUCCACGACGCGAGCGGGCGACAACUCCACACCGUUCUUUAAGACCCCACUGAUACUAGGGAAGCAAAACACAACCGUUUAACCGGACCCAGUCUGAGCACAUGCUAUCAAGUCGCGGCCAGCCAUGGCUAUCGGAAUAGCGUGGCGCUGAAUCGGCGUGGGCUUCACGUACUUGCACCGGCCAAAUCGAUCUCGACAAAUGUGUCCACCGGUGGUGGAAUGUCCUCGUCGCUCACCUCCACCGGGAUGUCUUCGUAGGCGUCGAAAUUGAUACCGCCAUUUCCAUCGCCUGCGUCCUCAAUGAUUUUGAGCUGAUCAAAUUCCUCAGAGAACCCAAAAGCAGAAAACAGGAACGUGGCGUCUUCGAUGAGGUUCUGAUCGCUAGAGAUUUGGAGGGAUCGAUGGAUGAUGAAGGCGUAGAAAGCAGCUGCGUAGAGAAUCAGAGAUCCCACCUCUCAUUUCAACAACUUCAUAGCUCUUCCAUAGAGAAAGAGAGAAAGACAGUGGCACUGUCGCAGUCCACGGCCGGGUCAGAUCCGCCGCCUAAUCACCGCAGUUGAGCAUCAUCUUAAGGACUGGAAUAUGAUCUCCACAAUGUUCUUGCUAGUAUCUUCAGGACCCAAUUCAGAAACUGCAUGUCUAACAGCCUGGUAAAGCUCCAAGUUCUCAGCUUUCAUGAAAAUCUCACCACAUUCCGGACAAAGACAGAUGCUCCCCCUCAGAGAGAGGUCUCUAGUAAAUCCAAGAACAUGAUUAACCACCAUCCCCAUUAAUUUCAUGGAGUGGAGCUUUCAUGGAUCUGCUUGAAGUCUUAUUGCUGUGGCUGAUCACCGCGUGCUUGCCAGAACUUCACACCUCCGCCAUGCUCCCGUCGCGGGCCAGCUCUCCGUUCGACGCGCUGAGAUCAACGGUCGGCGCCAAUCCGCGUGUCUCGCUGUCCUCCCCGUUGUCCUCGAUCAACAUCGCGAUGAGCUGAAUCUGGCUGGUAGUGAGCGAAACGAACCGGGAACCGAAAUGUGGAGCUUGGUGGAGAGUUUGGAGGAUUUGCUGCCGGAGUAAUGGAGGAAAACCAACUCGCCAAAUGGAAAGCCGGGAUGCUUCUUGGGGACAAAGAGAUCGAGCAAAUCCGUUGGAGGUAAUCCAGCCUCUUCGAUCUGGGUCUCAGUUCGAUGAAGACCGUAGAAGUGGGUCCCUCUUCAAUGGGACCCCCUUUCCAACGAAACCAUUUCAGCUAGCUUCUCAUUCCCAUGGAUUCACACAAAGCUUUUUACGGAUUUGGGUUUUGGAUCUUCUUUUCUGGAAAAGCCCAGUGAGGUUUUUUGGGUUUCUUGCAGAUUUUGUAGAUUCACAGUGGAGGUGAAAAUUUGAGAGAAAACCGACAUAGCUUUUCGUGUCGAUUCCCACAGACGGCGCCAAAUGUUGAUGCACAAAACCGGAUGGUUUUGGUACAACGUAAAUCCGACCGUGAAUCUGCACAAACGCUCAAGAACACGAAGAACACAAGGAUUUUAUCGUGGUUCACCCCAAGGUUUGGGCUACGUCCACACUGAUUGUAUUGUAUUUCUCUGUUGAAGAGGGAGAGAGAGCUUAGAGCUUAGGGGGUGUGAGGAAGCUUUGAGAGGGGGUGAGAGGCUUCAGAAAUGGCCUCUGAGAGUGAGAGUCAGGCCUCUCCCAAUUGUGAGGGUGAGGAGGCCCUUUUAUAGAAUAAGGGCUCAUCACCUAAUUACAUAUUUGCCCCUUCUUUUAUCCCAUAAUUACAUUUAAGUCCCCCAAGUAUUUGUACGAGAUCUAAAUACGAGGCCCUAAAUAUGGUAUAAACAGCAUUUGUUGGUUGUGCCAGCUUCUUCAAUAGAGAGAGAAAUUUGAGGUGAAAAAAUCUCGUUUACAAGUUAUACAUUUU